rnacentral:rRNA from 1 species
GGAAUAUUGGACAAUGGGCGAAAGCCUGAUCCAGCAAUGCCGCGUGAGGGAUGAAGGCCUUCGGGUUGUAAACCUCUUUUCUCAGGGACGAUAAUGACGGUACCUGAGGAAUAAGCCACGGCUAACUACGUGCCAGCAGCCGCGGUAAUACGUAGGUGGCGAGCGUUGUCCGGAUUUACUGGGCGUAAAGAGCGCGCAGGCGGUCGGCCAAGUCGAGUGUGAAAGCCCCCGGCUCAACUGGGGAGGGUCACUCGAUACUGGUCGACUCGAAGGCGGGAGAGGGAAGCGGAAUUCCCGGUGUAGUGGUGAAAUGCGUAGAUAUCGGGAGGAACACCAGUGGCGAAGGCGGCUUCCUGGCCCGUUCUUGACGCUGAGGCGCGAAAGCUAGGGGAGCGAA